rnacentral:rRNA from 1 species
CCGUAUUCAUAUGCCUGGCAGCACGUUUAAAUGCGCAGAAGGUGGCACUUCUCUGUAGCAGUGUUUUUAGUGACUGUUAGGACUCCAUGCUGUUCAUGCCACCCUAGGUUGUACUUCUGUCGGGUUGCUAGGUGGCCGUUGAGGAGCAGCCUGCCGAAGAACGGAGGGCCUAGCCUGCGACUCCUGCUCUCCAUAACGUCGCGAUCGAGGCGCGAGCCCUGCGGAUCGAGGUAGCGGUGGGAGGCGGGGAGGAGGCUGAAGACCCUGGUGGUCUACCUGGAAGAGUACCUGUUGGAGUAGUGAUCGAAAGGAUCCUCGGUGGUCAGCUCAGCGGAGGUGGUUGGCGUCCGUGGUGCUGGUCUAGGAGGGUGGCACCGAGAGGACGCCGGCCACAACCCAAAACUAUGUGGCCGACAAGAUGGUGCGUGAGUAGGAUAACUCUUAUUGUGUCCGUUCGCUAGGUCGUCUAGCCGGAGGGGGUCGUCGAGCAGCGGAGAUGGUCCGGUAGGGGGGAGGGGAAGUCCAGAGGUCGUCUAGCGGCCGCAGCGGGGGUCCAGCAAAGGGAUCCAGCGGGUUCGAGCCGGGUCCGACAGGAGCAAAGUCCAGCGGCCGUGGCGGUUAGCGGAGCGAAGUCCAGCGGGUUCGGUCGGCCGCGGCGGAGGGUCUAGCUCCAGUGGCCGUCGAUUAGCGGAGCGAAGUCCAGCGGGUUUCGCGCGACGGUACCACCCGCGAGGCUCUCCUGCUGCUGCCGCAGAAGUCCACCUGUUGUAACUACUUUCACUGAAUAAACUACUAUACCAAGUUCUCUACCUUGUCUAAAAUGAGUUAAGUCCCCUCGGGGCACUUUCACCUGGAAGAUGACUAUUGGCGCACUUAUUACGAGUGGUUUUAGUCGUAAAGUCUCUACCGUCGUGGUGACGGAGAUGGAGACCAUGUCUACUACGUAUACAUAUAGGGGAAAGAGCGUUAGAAAGCUUUUAACUAAGCCACCUCCAACACCCCCGUUUCGUUUCUUGUCCCCUACAAAGAAAGCCGCUCGCCUACCAACCCCAGUUUCUCAUGUGACAUAUGAACAACUUUCACUCCUCACCGCUUCUACUGACCCUUUAACUCGCAGCUAUGGCACUUAAAAUACGUGAAAUAGUUGUUGAGUUCGAGAAGAAAAGACUCUUUCCUAACUCAGAAGGUGGGGGUACCUAUUUACAACUCUUCCUCAGGUCAUUUUACAAACCCUUACGUAGGCGUCUACAACAGUUACCUUCUUCACCAGAAUAAGUUCUGACGAAUACGAGAAACGAGCAGAGAUUAAUAGGGAAACCUUGUGGGAGGGGAGACCAAUUAAAAAACAGUGGCCCCUGUGGACGAAUACUUGUUUCGAAAAAUUUCUACGAAAAAGGUGCUAGAAACUUUUCCGACUCGUCGCUAAAUGUAUGGUUUCUAAGUCUGACAUUACCUCGAGACGUGUUCCUAAGAUGGAGCUACCCGUUCUGUUAUAGUGAACAACACCUCCUAUCCGGAGUCUUCAGCUGAUCUGUCAACAACCUCAAAGUUGUGAUGUUAACACGCCCUACAGUAUCCGUAAACCUACGACCUGCUUGUAACGACGUUCUUGAACAUGUUUGAUAACCUACCUUGUUCGGAGCCAAAACACGAAUGUGACCUGUCAAUAAAACACGGAGAACAGUGUGUUUACUAUGACGCCAAGACGGUCGUUCUCAAAAUGUGGUGACCCUAAAAAGAAAUAUAGGUCAAAGGGUCGAUCGUUUUCGUAAAAACCUGAGGUAGAUACUGGUCGGAUACGAGACACAUUCACGACAGUUGGGAAAGGAAAAACGAUUUCACGGACGAGACGAAUUGUAGUACUCAUAGGCCUUCUUUUAUCGACGGUACGAAGGAACAGAGGUUACAGGAAAAGCCUUGAGGUAUAAAUCUCCUAAUCCACAAGCUUCUAUGGAAGAACUACCCUUACUGAAAAAACGCGAAGCACUGGAACAACUAGAGAGCUUCCCUCGAAAACGUCCUUCUACUUCGAUGUUCUACACCAAGAACACCCAGUUAAAAGGUGUUUGUUACGAAUUCCUUUUAAUCACAGACGGGGACACCAUUCUCACGGUCGUGUCCGUACUUUUAGCACCGUGAUCUUGUUCGAUAUCUUAUGCCGAGUUUGUCCGACAGUUGACUCAAGUAGGGUGGGGGAAGAAAAAGAAGUAGCAGUUCUAAAAAGCGGCCAUAAGAAAGCUUUCGUUCCGGUCUAUUCUAAACCUUUGGCUCUCUGUCGUUAGGACACUAAAACUACCCAAGUAACGGCCUAUGCAGAUACACUCAAGUCGAAUCGACGUACACACCCCAAAUAGUAUUGUUAAAAAAUGAACGCACUUACGACAUAUAAAACGACGCUGUCAUAUCGUUUCUCUUCCCUAAGAGUGACGACAAAGACAUACAACACGUUUAAAUUGAAGACGACAAACGUACCCUUCAAACUACUAGUCGGCGAUAAAAAUUUG